rnacentral:misc_RNA from 1 species
GCUCACUUGCCAAACCAUACCGAGUAAAACAACUGCAAAGUUUUGUGAGGGAUUGCUGACAUUUCUGAAAAUAGUUGAAAUAAAAAGAGAUCUAAUCUCUGACUUCAGGUUUGAAAGUAUGUACAGCUGUACAUGAAUAGAUCCUGGAAGGAUGGAUGUACUGUACUGCCGGUGAUUGAUCUAGAACAUGAGAAUGGUUUUGUCCCAGCGUCAACGGGAGGAAUUAAACAAGGCUAUUGCCGACUACCUCCUCAGCAAUGGAUACAACGAGGCCUUGGACGCUUUCAAGAAGGAGACUGAUAUGCCAGGAGAGGUGGAUAAAAAAUACGCGGGUCUUUUAGAAAAGAAAUGGACCUCUGUCAUCCGGUUACAGAAAAAGGUGAACGAGCUUGAAGCCAAGUUAUCUGAAGCCGAGAAAGAAUAUAUUUCAGGCGCACCGACGCGCGAAAAACGCUCACCGAGCGAAUGGAUCCCACGUCCUCCUGAGAAAUACGAGCUGAGCGGUCACCGCGCGCCGGUGACCCGUGUCGUCUUCCAUCCAAUCUUUAGUCUGAUGGUGAGCGCGAGCGAGGAUGCAACGAUUAAGAUUUGGGAUUUCGAGACGGGGGAUUACGAGCGCACACUGAAAGGCCACACUGACUCCGUCCAGGAUGUAGCCCUGGAUAGAGACGGGAAGCUACUAGUGAGCUGUAGUGCAGAUAUGUCGGUCAAACUAUGGGAUUUUAAUAGUUAUGAAUGCUUAAAGACUAUGCACGGUCAUGACCACAACAUUAGCAGUGUCACCUUCCUACCCUCUGCGGACUAUAUCUUGACCUCCUCAAGAGAUAAAUCAAUCAAGAUGUGGGAGGUUGCUACAGGAUUUUGCGUCAGAACUUUUACAGGGCACAGGGAUUGGGUUCGAAUGGUUCGUGUCUCACCAGAUGGAUUACUGUUGGCCAGCUGUUCAAACGAUCAGACUAUCAGAAUAUGGGUUACUGCAGGAAAAGAUACUAAAUGUGAGCUGCGAGAUCAUGAUCAUGUGGUAGAAUGUAUCGCCUGGGCUCCUGAAGCUGCCCAUCAGGCUAUUAAUGAAGCAGCGGCAGCUGCUGAUAAUAAGAACAGUGUUUCCCACACUGGACCAUUCCUAGCCAGUGGUUCCCGGGACAAGAGUAUCCGGGUCUGGGAUGUUAGCACAGGAAUCUGCCUUUUCUCUCUACUAGGACAUGAUAACUGGGUUAGAGGAGUAUCCUGGCAUCCUGGUGGUAAAUAUUUACUCUCUGUCAGUGACGAUAAGACGCUGCGCGUCUGGGAUAUCGCGCACGCACGGUGUCACAAGCGACUAGACGCGCACACACAUUUCGCCACAUCAUUAGAUUUUCAUCGGAACCAGCCUUAUGUUGUCACAGGGUCUGUGGAUCAAACAGUAAAGGUUUGGGAGUGCAGAUAGACAGAUAGAUACACAGGGUCAGUAGAGUAGAAAAAGCCAACUUAACAAUUCACCGAGUGAUAGAAAAAUGCAUGUACACCGGGUACCCAGUACAUAGUGUAACAAACUGAGUGUUUAUGUACUGUAUAUCAUUGUACUUAGUACACGUGUACAGUACUGCUGCAUGAACGUGAUGCAUCUCUACGAAUUAUGUACUUCACAUAGGACUGUUACCAGCUUGUGUGCCCAGUACACUGAACAGUGUACACUCCAACAUUGUACCGUACUGCUGCGGAUUUGAUAAAGCGAUGAUGCUCGUGUAUAGUGUUCAGUGUACACUCUAGUUCAACAAAUCUGCAAAAAUUCUGUAAUUGUGCUAACAAUGAUUUUUACCGUGUUCAUGUACGUACAAGGAUUCUGUUUCUCAUGCCUGCAAGUAUGUAUGUACCGGGCAAAACUUUGAACUUAACCCCUUAGCUGUACACGGGUAAGCUUUAUUACAGUUCUCAAUGUACAUUUUCAUGUGCAGUGUGUUUACAACUACUUACAAGAUAUUGAAUGUACACGUUAAAUGUACAAGCAUUAGAUCUUGUAAUGGUGUAGUAAGUGUACUGUUCAAACUGUACAAUGUACAUACACGCUAAGAAUCCCAGUCUGCCAAAGUAGAGACUACGUUAUAAUCACGAAAUUAUUUUUAAAUUAAUUGUUAAAUAUAUUAUUUUAAGUUCAGUUGUAAACUAACCAAUCUUAUUUGCGCCAUGUAACACACUCAUCACACCUGGGUCACACACAAAGCUUCGUCGUUUUUCAUUCUUAUUUUUCUUAAACAUUUUCCAUUAACUUAAAACCGUUCAAAACCAGACUCGGUUACAUUUUACUUACCUCAGUCACAAGACAAUGACGAGAUAAAAAUACCAAAAAUUCUACAUUAUAUUUAGUUCUUCGCUGUGUUAUGUAUUGCAGUAGCGAGUGCCUGUACUCGUGUGCACUAGCUGUACAAUUUUACAACUGCUUCUAAUAAUAUUGGAAUACAUUCCCUAUCCGUA